rnacentral:rRNA from 1 species
GAUGAACGCUGGCGGCGUGCUUAACACAUGCAAGUCGAACGUGAGAGGUAGCAAUAUCUUGAAAGUGGCGCACGGGUGAGUAACACGUAGGUAACCUGCCUCGGAGUGGGGGAUAACAGUUAGAAAUGACUGCUAAUACCGCAUGAAUCCAUUAAGAUGGGAAUGUUGAUGGAGAAAACUCUGGUGCUUCGAGAGGGGCCUGCGGUCGAUUAGCUAGUUGGCGGGGUAACGGCCCACCAAGGCGACGAUCGAUAGCUGGUCUGAGAGGACGAUCAGCCACACGGGAACUGAGACACGGUCCGACUCCUACGGGGGGGCAGCAGUGAGGAAUAUUGGGCAAUGGGCGGAAGCCUGACCCAG